UACGUAGGAGGCAAGCGUUGUCCGGAUUUAUUGGGCGUAAAGAGCGUGUAGGCGGCCAGGGAGGUCCGUUGUGAAAACUCGAGGCUCAACCUCGAGACGCCGAUGGAAACCCCCUGGCUAGAGUCCGGAAGAGGAGAAUGGAAUUCCUGGUGUAGCGGUGAAAUGCGCAGAUAUCAGGAAGAACACCCGUGGCUAAGGCGGUUCUCUAGUACGGUACUGACGCUGAGACGCGAAAGCGUGGGGAGCGAACAGG
rnacentral:rRNA from 1 species